UCGGGAAUUUUGGGCAAUGGGCGAAAGCCUGACCCAGCAACGCCGCGUGAGGGAUGAAGUAUUUCGGUAUGUAAACCUCGAAAGAAUGGGAAGAAUAAAUGACGGUACCAUUUAUAAGCUCCGGCUAACUACGUGCCAGCAGCCGCGGUAAUACGUAGGGAGCAAGCGUUGUUCGGAUUUACUGGGCGUAAAGGGCGCGUAGGCGGCGUGGUAAGUCACUUGUGAAAUCUCUGAGCUUAACUCAGAACGGCCAAGUGAUACUGCUGUGCUAGAGUGCGGAAGAGGCAACCGGAAUUCUUGGUGUAGCGGUGAAAUGCGUAGAUAUCAAGAGGAACACCUGAGGCGAAGGCGGGUUGCUGGGCCGACACUGACGCUGAUGCGCGAAAGCCAGGGGAGCAAACG
rnacentral:rRNA from 1 species